rnacentral:pre_miRNA from 1 species
CUCGUCGGAUCUGGCGGCGGAGCUCGCGGCUCGCCAGAUCUAGCGGCAGAGCUCGGGCCCCCGCUAGAUCCGGCGAGCCGCGAGCUCCGCCGCCAGAUCCGACGAGCUCA